UCCACACACAACGGGAGAUUUGGUAAGUGUCUAUCAGAUGGGUUCCUUUCAAAAAAAGAGUUGUUUCGCUGGAAACACAUAUCGCAUGUGCGUACACGUUGAAUACAUGACGGCAAGUCACUACAGCGACAGAUAUAAACCAAACAAGCUUUUCGUAUAUCUUGACACAUGUUAACCAUCGUCGGGGAGCGCUUACUGGUCGCUUACGUGCAGUAUUGUGAUGUUCCAUAAUCAGCGUUUCAGGACUUUUGGUUUCACAAUUUUCACCAAUAAAGCUAUAAUUUCAGCUCUUGCAUCCAACGUAACGUUACGGCAUUCACGGUAUUACGUAAUAUCGCAAGCGUAGGAUUGAACUAUAUUACGUAUUCCACAUACGUAACCGGCAUAUAACACCGUGCAUUGUAUAUUUGUGAUAUGCUUAAGGAUGACGGUAAAAGCCUAAUUGCAAUUAUUAAUUUCUGCUCGUCCAACACAGAAAAACAUUUCCUUUGUCCAAGAAAAGAAAAUUUCGAUAAUAACCCUUGGUAACGGAUCUGCGGAGAUGAAAGCUCAUGGCCAAGAAAAUAGGGAUUCAAGUAUGAUGUUAAACCACUUAGGCGAAAUUGCAGCAGUAGGCUGGUAAGGAAAACAAACAAUUAUGAGCUUAUUUCGGCGAGCCGAAUGAGUUUUUAGAAUAAGCAUUCGAUUUCGCCACAUGUAACAUUAAAAAUGUAACGCUUCAUUUUCCCUUGCGACCUGUUCUACCCAAUUAGCAAAAUUACAGGAUACGCGUGUUCUCAAAUAACGGGAUUACAUCGUUCUUUCCCCAGGGCCGGUAUUUCUUUCUAGAUCAAGGCGUACCAGUGUAUUGGGAUUUCUCGUUGUAAUGGCAGCUCGCAUCACAGCAAUUCUUCUCAUGUGUGCCGUGUUCGCCUACGGCAUCAUGGCCAUUGCAGCCAAUCAGGAUGCUACAGCACGAGGAAGUUCAGUGCCGGCGAGUGCUGCCAAUGAGGAUGCAAGAAUCUCAUCAGCUGCGAUCGGAAGCUUGGCGGGUGGAGGCCUCGGCUGAAGCUCACGUGAUUGGCUGCACCGAGGGAGCAGCGCGAGAGAACCGACUUUUGUCGCGUGCUCGCUUUAUUCUUUAGCGAGUUCAUUUUUCACCGUUCAAAUGAAAUAAAUGUCGGUGCAUUACCUGGU